rnacentral:rRNA from 1 species
GGUUAAGCGAAUAAGCGUACACGGUGGAUGCCUAGGCAAUCAGAGGCGAUGAAGGACGUGCUAAUCUGCGAAAAGCGUCGGUAAGGUGAUAUGAACCGUUAUACCCGACGAUAUCCGAAUGGGGAAACCCAGUAUCCAAUGGAUACUAUCAUUAACUGAAUCCAUAGGUUAAUGAGGCGAACCGGGAGAACUGAAACAUCUCAGUACCCCGAGGAAAAGAAAUCAACCGAGAUUCCCCUAGUAGCGGCGAGCGAACGGGGAGCAGCCCAGAGUCUUAAUCAAUAGCAGUGUCAGGAGAACGGUCUGGAAAGUCCGGCAGUAAAGGGUGAUAGCCCCGUAUCUGAAGAUGCUGUUAUUGUGAACUCGACGAGUAGGGCGGGACACGUGUUAUCCUGUCUGAAUAUGGGGGGACCAUCCUCCAAGGCUAAAUACUCCUGAUUGACCGAUAGUGAACCAGUACCGUGAGGGAAAGGCGAAAAGAACCCCGGCGAGGGGAGUGAAAAAGAACCUGAAACCGUGUACGUACAAGCAGUAGGAGCCUCUUUAUGGGGUGACUGCGUACCUUUUGUAUAAUGGGUCAGCGACUUAUAUUCUGUAGCAAGGUUAACCGCAUAGGGGAGCCGUAGGGAAACCGAGUCUUAACUGGGCGAAUGAGUUGCAGGGUAUAGACCCGAAACCCGGUGAUCUAUCCAUGGGCAGGUUGAAGGUUGGGUAACACUAACUGGAGGACCGAACCGACUAAUGUUGAAAAAUUAGCGGAUGACUUGUGGAUGGGGGUGAAAGGCCAAUCAAACCGGGAGAUAGCUGGUUCUCCCCGAAAGCUAUUUAGGUAGCGCCUCGUGAACUCAUCUUCGGGGGUAGAGCACUGUUUCGACUAGGGGGUCAUCCCGACUUACCAACUCGAUGCAAACUGCGAAUACCGAAGAAUGUUAUCACGGGAGACACACGGCGGGUGCUAACGUCCGUCGUGAAGAGGGAAACAACCCAGACCGCCAGCUAAGGUCCCAAAGUCAUGGUUAAGUGGGAAACGAAGUGGGAAGGCUCAGACAGCCAGGAUGUUGGCUUAGAAGCAGCCAUCAUUUAAAGAAAGCGUAAUAGCUCACUGGUCGAGUCGGCCCGCGCGGAAGAUGUAACGGGGCUAAACCAUGCACCGAAGCUGCGGCAGCGACACAAAGUGUUGUUGGGUAGGGGAGCGUUCUGUAAGCCUGCGAAGGUGUACUGUGAGGUAUGCUGGAGGUAUCAGAAGUGCGAAUGCUGACAUAAGUAACGAUAAUGCGGGUGAAAAACCCGCACGCCGGAAGACCAAGGGUUCCUGUCCAACGUUAAUCGGGGCAGGGUGAGUCGACCCCUAAGGCGAGGCUGAAAAGCGUAGUCGAUGGGAAACGGGUUAAUAUUCCCGUACUGGUGGUAACUGCGAUGGGGGAACGGAGAAGGCUAGGUUGUCCGGGCGACGGUCGUCCCGGUUCAAGCAGGUAGGCAGAGUGAUUAGGCAAAUCCGGUCACUUAAUGCUGAGAUGUGAUGACGAACCACCAAGGUGGUGAAGCAAUUGAUGCCCCGCUUCCAGGAAAAGCCUCUAAGCUUCAGGUUACCAACAAUCGUACCCCAAACCGACACAGGUGGUCAGGUAGAGAAUACUCAGGCGCUUGAGAGAACUCGGGUGAAGGAACUAGGCAAAAUGGUGCCGUAACUUCGGGAGAAGGCACGCUGGCGGUAGGUAAAGUCCCUCGCGGACGGCGCUGAAGCCAGUCGAAGAUACCAGCUGGCUGCAACUGUUUAUUAAAAACACAGCACUGUGCAAACACGAAAGUGGACGUAUACGGUGUGACGCCUGCCCGGUGCUGGAAGGUUAAUUGAUGGGGUCAGCCGUAAGGCGAAGCUCCUGAUCGAAGCCCCAGUAAACGGCGGCCGUAACUAUAACGGUCCUAAGGUAGCGAAAUUCCUUGUCGGGUAAGUUCCGACCUGCACGAAUGGCGUAAUGAUGGCCAGGCUGUCUCCACCCGAGACUCAGUGAAAUUGAACUCGCUGUGAAGAUGCAGUGUACCCGCGGCAAGACGGAAAGACCCCGUGAACCUUUACUAUAGCUUGACACUGAACAUUGAGCCUUGAUGUGUAGGAUAGGUGGGAGGCUUUGAAGUGUGGACGCCAGUCUGCAUGGAGCCAACCUUGAAAUACCACCCUUUAACGUUUGAUGUUCUAACCUAGGCCCAUAAACUGGGUCGGGGACCGUGUCUGGUGGGUAGUUUGACUGGGGCGGUCUCCUCCUAAAGAGUAACGGAGGAGCACGAAGGUUGGCUAAGCAUGGUCGGACAUCAUGCGGUUAGUGCAAAGGCAUAAGCCAGCUUGACUGCGAGAGUGACGGCUCGAGCAGGUACGAAAGUAGGUCUUAGUGAUCCGGUGGUUCUGAAUGGAAGGGCCAUCGCUCAACGGAUAAAAGGUACUCCGGGGAUAACAGGCUGAUACCGCCCAAGAGUUCAUAUCGACGGCGGUGUUUGGCACCUCGAUGUCGGCUCAUCACAUCCUGGGGCUGAAGUAGGUCCCAAGGGUAUGGCUGUUCGCCAUUUAAAGUGGUACGCGAGCUGGGUUUAGAACGUCGUGAGACAGUUCGGUCCCUAUCUGCCGUGGGCGUUGGAAGAUUGAGAGGGGUUGCUCCUAGUACGAGAGGACCGGAGUGAACGCACCACUGGUGUUCGGGUUGUCAUGCCAAUGGCAUUGCCCGGUAGCUAAGUGCGGAAGAGAUAACCGCUGAAAGCAUCUAAGCGGGAAACUUGCCUCGAGAUGAGUCUUCCCUGUCGCUUUAAGUGACCUAAAGGAACGUUUAAGACUAAGACGUUGAUAGGCUGGGUGUGUAAGCGUAGCGAUACGUUGAGCUAACCAGUACUAAUGAACCGUGAGGCUUAACCUG